UAGGGAAUUUUGCACAAUGGGCGAAAGCCUGAUGCAGCGACGCCGCGUGAGUGAUGAAGGCCUUCGGGUUGUAAAGCUCUGUUCUCAGGGAAUAAAAAAAUGAAGGUACCUGAGAAGAAAGGACCGGCUAACUUCGUGCCAGCAGCCGCGGUAAGACGGGGGGUCCUAGCGUUGUUCGGAAUUAUUGGGCGUAAAGCGUGCGUAGGUGGCUACAUAAGUCAGGAGUGAAAGCCCUGGGCUCAACCCAGGAAGUGCUUUUGAUACUGUGUAGCUUGAAUGUGGGAGAGGAUAGUGGAAUUCCAGGUGUAGUGGUGAAAUACGUAGAUAUCUGGAGGAACACCGGUGGCGAAGGCGGCUAUCUGGCCCAACAUUGACACUGAAGCACGAAAGCGUGGGGAUCAAACA
rnacentral:rRNA from 1 species